UGGAGAGGUGGCCGAGUGGUUUAAGGCGCAGCACUGGAAAUGCUGUUAUGGGGUGACUUAUACGGGGGUUCGAAUCCCCCCCUCUCCGU
rnacentral:tRNA from 1 species